ACCAGAGACGCAAGGAACCAAAACUCAACCAUUUCUUCUCCCAAACCCUCUCCAAUCACCACCGCAUACAAUCAUGGUAGCUGCGGUGAAGUAGGCACGGGUAUCAACGUCUAAGCCCACAGUAAACAUAUGAUGAGCCCAAACAAGAAAUCCAAGAACACCUAUACUGAUCAUGGCAUCACCAGCCACCGUCGUUUUACAUCUUUUUUUAAUCAAUUUCCGGGUUUUUUUUCCAGAUUUGGGGCGAUGAAGUUUCCGGCCGUCGACCACCAACCGCAUAUCUUCUAUACAUAAGGUAAAUACGUUCAUAUUGUAACAUUCGAUCUUUUUGAAUCUUUUUAUGAACAAGAUACAAACGCGGGAAAAUAUGCAUAUGAAAGAAGUAGGUGAAUUCAUUAUGAUUUUUUCGUAUAUAUCAUUUCUUAUUUGCAUUUUAUAAGGAACACAGUUAAGAGACACACUUAUGAGAAUUAGGUAUGUUCAGUCUAUUUGAAUUAGAAGUUUUGAUCUUUGAAGUUUAUGUCAAAAAAAAUCAUGCAGAUUGAUAUGCGGUUUUUAAUUGUUAAGGUCUAAAUUGUUACUUAUUGGAGCAAUGUAUUGGACCGGUUCCUUUGUUCGACAAAUUGACAGAAUGACCCGUAUGAAGGAGUUUACGUUUCAGGACAUGUAAAAGAGUCCAAAUGGGACAAUUAGGAACAUUUUGGAUGGCUGGUGUUAUCCCUCUAAACGAUGUUAAAAUUGAUAACUUGGCAAAAGUUGAUUUACUUGGAGGUUUGAGAUGCUUAUUCUAUUGUAUUGUGGGUUUACUUAUGAACUUAAGAAGUAAUAUGACCCAAAUCAACCCAUAUUAACUAUUAGGUUUUAUUUAUGAACUAGCAAUGUGGCUCCAUGGAUCCUAACAGUUGGUACUAGCACGAUCAAUCGAUUGCCGGCAGGAAAAUGAGCAAAGGUGCAUUCAAGAAGGUUCUGGUAAACUUGCAUCUGAAACGAGCAAACAAUGAUAGGCAAUGGUUUAGAGAUAAGAGAUGGCGAUGCUUUAGACUCUGAUCUUCGUGGCGAAUUGUUUUACUUUCUUGUAGCCAUCACCGCUCCAUAGGCGACACAAUUCACCUCCGCCAUCACCACUCCACCAUCACACCACGACCUCCAUCGCAAACCCCUUUUCCAACCCAACAAUCUAUCAUCUCUUUUUCACACACAUACAUAAACAACCUCUCAAAAAUCCUGUCACCACCGCAUCAUUCACACAGACUACAAUUUUCAUCACACAGCCGACAGUCACUUGCGCCACCUCCAACGCGAACAUCAGAUCUUUGUAAAUUUCUGGUUUUUGUCAUAAGUCAAUUUAUAUAAAUCUCACCAUGGGAUCGUUACGUUUUCUUAUUUUCGGGUUUUUCAUCUGACUUUUGUGCUCUGUAGGAUUUGAAAAUGGUGGCUUAAUGCAAUUCAAAAUUAAGGAUGUGAUUGGGUUGGUAAACAGUGACUUACUAUUCUGAUGGAAGCAAAUACGUUUCUGAACAUGUGGCCAUAUUUCACGUAAGAAGAUCGGCUCGAACGUGGAAUACUCCGUAUAACCAUUGUUUUAUAUGCACGUAACCAUUUAAUCCAGUGAAUGAAAGUUGUUUGACUAUUUUACUCAUGUAAUCCGAUAGUACAAGUCACACUUCGUAAUACACACUACAAUUUAUGAUUAA